rnacentral:rRNA from 1 species
GGGUUGUGAGGUUAAGCGACUAAGCGUACACGGUGGAUGCCCUGGCAGUCAGAGGCGAUGAAGGACGUGCUAAUCUGCGAAAAGCGCCGGUAAGGUGAUAUGAACCGUUAUAACCGGCGAUGUCCGAAUGGGGAAACCCAGUGUGACUCGUCACACUAUCAUUAACUGAAUCCAUAGGUUAAUGAGGCGAACCGGGGGAACUGAAACAUCUAAGUACCCCGAGGAAAAGAAAUCAACCGAGAUUCCCCCAGUAGCGGCGAGCGAACGGGGAGCAGCCCAGAGCCUGAAUCAGCUUGUGUGUUAGUGGAAGCGUCUGGAAAGUCGCGCGAUACAGGGUGACAGCCCCGUACACAAAAGCACACAGGCUGUGAGCUCGAUGAGUAGGGCGGGACACGUGGUAUCCUGUCUGAAUAUGGGGGGACCAUCCUCCAAGGCUAAAUACUCCUGACUGACCGAUAGUGAACCAGUACCGUGAGGGAAAGGCGAAAAGAACCCCGGCGAGGGGAGUGAAAAAGAACCUGAAACCGUGUACGUACAAGCAGUGGGAGCACCUUCGGGUGUGACUGCGUACCUUUUGUAUAAUGGGUCAGCGACUUAUAUUCUGUAGCAAGGUUAACCGCAUAGGGGAGCCGAAGGGAAACCGAGUCUUAACUGGGCGUUAAGUUGCAGGGUAUAGACCCGAAACCCGGUGAUCUAGCCAUGGGCAGGUUGAAGGUUGGGUAACACUAACUGGAGGACCGAACCGACUAAUGUUGAAAAAUUAGCGGAUGACUUGUGGCUGGGGGUGAAAGGCCAAUCAAACCGGGAGAUAGCUGGUUCUCCCCGAAAGCUAUUUAGGUAGCGCCUCGUGAAUUCAUCUCCGGGGGUAGAGCACUGUUUCGGCUAGGGGGCCAUCCCGGGCUUACCAACCCGAUGCAAACUACGAAUACCGGAGAAUGUUAUCACGGGAGACACACGGCGGGUGCUAACGUCCGUCGUGAAGAGGGAAACAACCCAGACCGCCAGCUAAGGUCCCAAAGUCAUGGUUAAGUGGGAAACGAUGUGGGAAGGCCCAGACAGCCAGGAUGUUGGCUUAGAAGCAGCCAUCAUUUAAAGAAAGCGUAAUAGCUCACUGGUCGAGUCGGCCUGCGCGGAAGAUGUAACGGGGCUAAACCAUGCACCGAAGCUGCGGCAGCGACGCUUAUGCGUUGUUGGGUAGGGGAGCGUUCUGUAAGCCUGCGAAGGUGUGCUGUGAGGCAUGCUGGAGGUAUCAGAAGUGCGAAUGCUGACAUAAGUAACGAUAAAGCGGGUGAAAAGCCCGCUCGCCGGAAGACCAAGGGUUCCUGUCCAACGUUAAUCGGGGCAGGGUGAGUCGACCCCUAAGGCGAGGCCGAAAGGCGUAGUCGAUGGGAAACAGGUUAAUAUUCCUGUACUUGGUGUUACUGCGAAGGGGGGACGGAGAAGGCUAUGUUAGCCGGGCGACGGUUGUCCCGGUUUAAGCGUGAAGGUGUGUGCUCCAGGCAAAUCCGGAGCACUUUAACACUGAGGCGUGAUGACGAGGCACUACGGUGCUGAAGUAACAAAUGCCCUGCUUCCAGGAAAAGCCUCUAAGCAUCAGGUAACACGAAAUCGUACCCCAAACCGACACAGGUGGUCAGGUAGAGAAUACCAAGGCGCUUGAGAGAACUCGGGUGAAGGAACUAGGCAAAAUGGUGCCGUAACUUCGGGAGAAGGCACGCUGAUACGUAGGUGAAGUCCCUUGCGGAUGGAGCUGAAAUCAGUCGAAGAUACCAGCUGGCUGCAACUGUUUAUUAAAAACACAGCACUGUGCAAACACGAAAGUGGACGUAUACGGUGUGACGCCUGCCCGGUGCCGGAAGGUUAAUUGAUGGGGUCAUCCGUAAGGAGAAGCUCUUGAUCGAAGCCCCGGUAAACGGCGGCCGUAACUAUAACGGUCCUAAGGUAGCGAAAUUCCUUGUCGGGUAAGUUCCGACCUGCACGAAUGGCGUAAUGAUGGCCAGGCUGUCUCCACCCGAGACUCAGUGAAAUUGAACUCGCUGUGAAGAUGCAGUGUACCCGCGGCAAGACGGAAAGACCCCGUGAACCUUUACUAUAGCUUGACACUGAACACUGGUCCUUGAUGUGUAGGAUAGGUGGGAGGCUUUGAAGCGUGGACGCCAGUCUGCGUGGAGCCGCCCUUGAAAUACCACCCUUUAAUGGCUGGUGUUCUAACGUGGACCCGUGAUCCGGGUUGCGGACAGUGUCUGGUGGGUAGUUUGACUGGGGCGGUCUCCUCCUAAAGCGUAACGGAGGAGCACGAAGGUCAGCUAAUCCUGGUCGGACAUCAGGAGGUUAGUGCAAUGGCAUAAGCUGGCUUGACUGCGAGCGUGACGGCGCGAGCAGGUGCGAAAGCAGGUCAUAGUGAUCCGGUGGUUCUGAAUGGAAGGGCCAUCGCUCAACGGAUAAAAGGUACUCCGGGGAUAACAGGCUGAUACCGCCCAAGAGUUCAUAUCGACGGCGGUGUUUGGCACCUCGAUGUCGGCUCAUCACAUCCUGGGGCUGAAGUAGGUCCCAAGGGUAUGGCUGUUCGCCAUUUAAAGUGGUACGCGAGCUGGGUUUAGAACGUCGUGAGACAGUUCGGUCCCUAUCUGCCGUGGGCGCUGGAGAAUUGAGGGGGGCUGCUCCUAGUACGAGAGGACCGGAGUGGACGCAUCACUGGUGUUCGGGUUGUCAUGCCAAUGGCACUGCCCGGUAGCUAAAUGCGGAAGAGAUAAGUGCUGAAAGCAUCUAAGCACGAAACUUGCCCCGAGAUGAGUUCUCCCUGAGACUUUAAGUCUCCUGAAGGAACGUUGAAGACGACGACGUUGAUAGGCCGGGUGUGUAAGCGCAGCGAUGCGUUGAGCUAACCGGUACUAAUGAACCGUGAGGCUUAACCUUACAACGCCGAAG